rnacentral:piRNA from 1 species
UCGGAAGACAGAGACGAUGCAUAGGGGCCC